rnacentral:rRNA from 1 species
GGACUACUGGGGUUUCUAAUCCCGUUUGCUCCCCUGGCCUUCGUGCCUCAGCGUCAGGAACUGUCCAGAGAUCCGCCUUCGCCACUGGCCUUCCUCACGAUAUCUACGCAUUUCACUGCUACACCGUGAAUUCCGAUCUCCUCUCCAGUCCUCGAGCAAAGCAGUAUCAAGUGCAGUUCCGGAGUUAAGCUCCGGGAUUUCACACCUGACUUGCUUCGCCGCCUACGCACCCUUUACGCCCAAUGAAUCCGAACAACGCUUGAGACCUCUGUAUUACCGCGGCUGCUGGCAC